GUGUGUGUGUGUGUGUGUGAAAAUCUCUUCAUAUAACUCUAAAUUUUGUAUUUUGUAAAAUUUGUAGGAAGAAGAGAUAGCUCGAAUCACAGAUGCAGAAAAAAAUUAACCCACACUCACUCUAGGGAGCCUAGUGGUGUAUUCUAUUGAUAUAGUAGGAAAACAUGAAUAUGUUUUUAGGAUAAAGGUAUCUUUAAAGUCAAUGUUGUCCCUAUGCUUAUAUUAGUUUCUUAGGUCCAGAGAAGAACAAGAAACAGUUUCAAGGAGAACAAAAAUAUCUAUUGGAAAGAAUACAUUAGCAAGCCAAAUAAAUCCCAUCUGUUUGGAGGAGAUAAGCUAUCAGGAGAUGAAUACCAAAGGCUGGAGAAGGAAGAAGGAGAAAAGAAGACAAAGAAGAAGAAAAAGAAGAAGAAGAAAAGAAGAAGGAAAAAGAAGAAGAAGAAGAAGAAGAAGAAGAAGAAGAAGAAGAAGAAGAAGAAGGUGUUAUAUUUUGUUCUGCCUUCAUACUCUAUCAGUUCUUUUUCUGAAGGCAGAUAACAUUUUUAUCAUGAGUCUCUGGAUCAUUAUAUUGCAUAGAAUAAGGAGGUCAUUCACAGUUGUUCAUCAAAAAGUAUUGUUUUUAUUAUGUACAAUGUUCUCUUUUCUAUUCAUUUUGCAUCAGUUCAUCUAAGUAUUUCCAAGUUUUUUCUUUAUGAAAUAAUCUUGCUUGUCAUUUCUUAUGGCAUAAUAGUAUUCUAUUAUAAUCAUAUCCCACAACUUAUUCACCUAUUCUCCAUUUUCCUCAUUUUCCAAUUCUUUGCUACCACAUAGAGAGCUGCGAUAACUAUUUUUGUAUAAAUAGGUCCUUUUCUCUCUUUUUAAAACAUCUUUGGGAUACAUAUAUAGAAAUGUCUAUAUCAAAGGGUAUGUAUAGUUUUAGAGCCCUUUGGGCAUAGUUUCAAAUUGUACUUAAGAAUGAUUGGAUCAUAAGAAAUGAUGAAUAGAAUGUUUUCAGAAAGAGCUGGAAAGACCUAUCUGAACUGAUAAAGAAUAAAAAAAUCAGAACUAGGAGAACA
rnacentral:lncRNA from 1 species